CAAGUAUGUUGUUAUUCAUCCCAGUGGCUUCCUUCAGCCUAGGAGCUAGGAGUAAGAUCCACAGAAGUAAAUAGUCACACUUUUAUUUUCUCCCAUUGCUGAGAGAGGAUGCUCAUUACACAAUAGAAAAAGACAGUGAAGCAAUGCAUGGAAAACCAAACUGGUGGAGCCAGAACAUAUUGUAUGUGCAGCAAACCAAAACUUAUAAAUGAAGACAAUGAAGUCAUUUUCAAACAGUGCGAAGGAACACGAGUGCAACUAUCUUUCCAGAAUCGUGGAAGAAAUUCAGUUCGUGAACCAAGAUACUACAGAAAAUGUUCAAAGUUUGCAUGACAAUAUUCAAGUAUCUCGCCCAACAAGGCUCAAUAUUUUCUCUGAAAAGUUCCUAUCCUGGAGAGGUUUAAUGGUACCAAUGAAGUAAGUUUCUAACCAAA
rnacentral:lncRNA from 1 species